CAUAUCAUUUCCUCUCUUGAGAGCAUCCUCCUCUUCUCCUCGGGUGCUCUGUUUGGCGUGCGACGAAUCCUGCACCACCACCGCCAAAGCCAAGGGAAGUGUUAUUUACAUAGCUGAAAAACAAUGCAUGAUACGGUUAUAUAGACAUCUCUAGGAAAAUAAUGAAUUGCACAUGUAGAUGGAGACUAAAACGAAGAAGGCAUUAAGAAUCAAGACGAAGGUCUGGUCAUAGUAUCUAUACUCAGCCAAGAGUCUCAAAUGAAGUACCAGCCAUGACAUAGUUAAGUUUCAGUUAAAAUAUCACGUAAGAACUUCUCAACUGAACUUAAAAGAACAUACUGAGACUCACCAUUUGACACCCACUGAGAAGGUUCUCAUAUAGAUGGAUCCACGAGACAAGCUUACGAUGGGUUAGACCAAAAACAGGAAACAUUUUCCUGUCAAAGGUAUUUCAGAAUUAACGGGAGGAAAACACAGAAAAAUUACUGCCUCUUGUCUUGUCAUAAUUACAACUAUUCUACUAUCAUCAAACGGUGGACGGCCAGCCCUCCCACACAUCUAUGAAUGACUAAAAGAAGAGCCUCUGUCAGAAGCAAGGGCAUUAUCACAUACCAUUGUUUCCUAUCUGAAUUACAAAACAUAAAAUUUUAACUAAACGUAAUAAUGUAUUACAGGAUAACCAAAUCAACUUGUAUGCAUGAAAAAGAAUUUAGCGUAUCCAAUCAUUUGCGGCAACAAGACCAACUUAUAUUAUUCAAAGGAAAGUCAACAUAUAAUAAUACGGAUAUCAGCAAGGACUGCGCUAAAUUUAUUAACCUGUGUUUUAAAUUUAUAUUCAUUUGUUAAUCAGGUAAACAAGUAAAAACACCUUGAGCAACAGGCAUAUCAAUAAGGUGAAAGAAGUCCAAAUAACCCCCUGGUGUUUCACAAACCGGCCACUUUACCCCCUGAGGUCAAAAACCAGGUAUCUAACCCCCUGAGCUUUCCUAAACCGUCUAAAUCGCCCCUAGCCCUGCUUAAAGUGGUUUUUUAGAGCGGUUUUGGUGACGGGGCAAUGUGCACCUCAUUCCUGAUCUGCAUCCGGCUUCGUGGAUUCUCCUCCGAGCACACAAGUCAGUGUCGUGGCACUCCGGAAGCAUCACGUCGAUGCAUGGCAUCAGCACGUAGCUCGUAGAACUCAAGCUCCCCGGAUACAAUCAGAUACAGUACACAUAAAGACCUGAUGGAUCGGUUCCCUCCUGCACAAGCAUGCACGUACACACAAGAAGAUGUGCGAUCAUGUCUGCGCUGGAUAGGACUAACCUAAUUGUGAUUAGCUCUGACAAUGGACGUCGUCAAAUGCCGGCGGCAGCCGCAGGUGGCACCGGCGUGAGCUUGAUGAGUUGUUGUCGGCAGAGGAAGAAGCGGACGUGGCCACGGAGAGUGUUGCCAGGGAGACUACGGCGCACGGGGGAUGCGAUGGAAAGCGAGAUUGCAAGCAAGCCAGAACACAGCCGACUACUGGCUGGUGCUGCUUCCGACCAGUACCUCACCGCCGCGUUGUUGGCACGGGACCUAAGUGCCAGGGUGCAGGUCAAGCGGCGUGAAGGUCAACGACCUGAGGAUGUGAGGGAAGAGAUGAACCGUGCAGACGUGGUACUCACAACCAUGCCACGUCACCAAAACCAUCCUCAAAAACCACUCUAGGGGGCGAUUCAAAUGGUUUAGGAAAGUUCAGGGGGUUAAAUACCUGGUUUUAGACUUCAGGGGGUAAAGUGACCAGUUUGUGAAACCCCAGGGGUUAUUUGGACUUCUUUCCAAUAACGUUGGAAGGGAAAAAAUACACAACAAACUGCUUGGCGGUGCAUAUCCUUUGUUUAUUAAGAUGCUAUUUUGCAGGAGCAACUGAGACUUAAUAGCACACCUUCAGCACCAUGGAUGUUGCAUAUUCUACAUAAGAUCCCUCCUCUUCGUUGCUACAAAAUGUAUGAAAAGCAAAAAAUAUCAUAAAAGAGAACAGAGGGCAGGUAGAAUGCUGUCAUAUUAAAAAAAUAGGUUCUCAGAAAAAUUAUGUCGACCUUAUCACUACUGUAUGUGCAGGUAAGGAAGUAACUUGAGUUGUGACCUAUGAGCAAGUAUAUAUCUCAAUAGCAGGUGAAAUAAAGUCAACCUCUGAAGAUUCUUACCAUAUGUAUCUCGGCUAGAUGUCUUUGCUUCGAGCAAAUCUUUCAGUCCUUUCAUCGCCGUCACAACUUCUUCAGCUUUUCACUGUAAAACCUACGUGGAGCAGGGUAGCAUAACUAAGAAACAAGAAAACUAACAAUCUUCUGUUUCUGAUUCAAAGACGGGAGUUUAUGCAUCUCAAAAUUCUUUCCAUUUGCAUCCCUUCUUCAGCCAUACGGUUGCCGGAGCGCAGCCCCUGCCAUCAACCAACUCCGGUUGGACCAGCCUGCAAAAGCCCAUGCGCUAGGAUUACAGCCAUGACAACUAAAGACCACAAUGAUCAUCACUUCUAAACACCUGACAUGGUGUGAGAAUUUAGGAGCGGAUAGCACGCAGGCAUGAACCACAGUUGUAUAGAUGACUGAGAGGGUGGUCAGGGACGACAGACUUGCUAACGGCUAGGAGCAACAACCAGUUAAUUGUAGAUAAGAAAAUAGUUAACCUUUGAAGAAAAUUAUGAAAAAAUUGCAGUGUCAUGCACAGCCAGCAACAAUAAAUAGCUAACUAAGAAUUCAUGGAAGACUUAUCCUACGCUAAACUAAAAGCUAGUUAGAACUAUAAACAUGCAAGCUCUCACAUUAAUUCGAACUGCUAACCUCAAAUAUGAGAUCCUGAAGAAUGAAUGCCGUAUGGUGAUGACUGCCAAUAUGGUAAAUACAUGUAUUUGUUAAGGUACCUAUAAACUAAAGGCAAGAAAACUGACAAUUUUGAGAUCAGGGAACCCAUUCUGAGUAGGCCUUGUACCAAAUCAAAUGAACAAACAAAAAUUAUGCAGGGGAAUGGAUCUGUGGUUGCCGGAUUCGCCACCCAUCAUCUGCAGGUUACAGAGAGUACCAAGAAUCUGUGUGAGUGUGUGGCAGUCACCACCACAUUGGCACACCAUUAGUCACGGUCCAAGCGUACAGUUUGAUCUGCUCAGCCUCGCCACCGCAAACACCCAACACAACCAUUAGAACUCUACAAUCCUUGCAGUUAUUUUAAAUCCUAAGAAUGCAAGAAACUUACCAAAACAACAGAUUGAUUAAAAUGCUUCACCCAUGGUCUUGGACUCUGGUGUCAACAUACUCCUCAAUUGACUUCCUCUGUCAGACAAACCUGGAACAGACAAACUAUAUCGCUAUGAAUUAACAUGAUUGAGGCAAGCACUGAGCAGAGGAGAGAAAAAAUAUCUGAAAGAAACUGCUACCAUCUUUUGCUUGUUCUCGCAAAGAAUUCAAUCCAUAGUAUGCCAAGAAGCUAUGAAAAAUUUGCAAUUGCUUCAAAGAAUAUAAUACAUUGCAGAAAUAAAAUACUCUAUUAGAGAGAUGGCAGGCGAGGUAGUAGGGACAAGAGCAAGAACUAACUUUGAGAGGAGAUGGGCAGACUCUUGCGUCGUGCCCUGGCUGACCCCUACGCUUACGCCAUGCCUCAUUUAUCUAUUCCUCAUUCCUCCGUG
rnacentral:lncRNA from 1 species